rnacentral:rRNA from 1 species
GAUGGACGCUGGCGGCGUGCUUAACACAUGCAAGUCAUGGGGGCCCGAAGCGCAAGCUUGGGGCAACCGGCGAACGGGUGCGUAACACGUGAGCAACUUACCCAGGGUGUGGGGGAUAGCCGUCCCAACGGACGGGUAAUACCGCAUACGCUCGACACGAGGCAUUUCGAGUCGAGGAAACCUUCGGGGCACCACGAGGGGCUCGCGGCCUAUCAGCUAGUUGGCGAGGUAACGGCUCACCAAGGCUACGACGGGUAGCUGGUCUGAGAGGAUGACCAGCCACAUUGGGACUGAGAAACGGCCCAGACUCCUACGGGAGGCAGCAGUGGGGAAUCUUGCGCAAUGGCCUAACGGCUGACGCAGCGACGCCGCGUGAGGGAUGACGCUCUUCGGAGUGUAAACCUCUUUUGCCUGGAACGAAUUGCCACCAUCAGGUGGCUUGACGGUACCGGUGAAUAAGCACCGGCAACUCCGUGCCAGCAGCCGCUGUAAC